rnacentral:snRNA from 1 species
GUCCUUGUUUUGGUAGCACAUAUACUAAAAUCGCAACAAAACAGAGAAGAUUGGCCUGAGCCCUGAGCAAGGAUUACAUGCAAAUCCUUGUACAUGCAAAUCCUU